UACAGAGGGUGCAAGCGUUGUUCGGAAUUAUUGGGCGUAAAGGGAGUGUAGGCGGUCUUUUAAGUCUUCUGUGAAAUCUACGGGCUUAGCCUGUAACGUGCAGAGGAAACUGGAAGGCUUGAGUGUCGGAGAGGAUAGGGGAAUACCCAGUGUAGAGGUGAAAUUCGUAGAGAUUGGGUGGAACACCAGUGGCAAAGGCGCCUAUCUGGCUGACAACUGACGCUGAGACUCGAAAGCAUGGGGAGCAAACAGG
rnacentral:rRNA from 1 species